UGGAAGUGCCAGUGGUAGAAGAGAGAAAUGAGAAGCAAAAAUCCUAAGAGGAGGAAAUUCAUUAUAAAAAAAUUGAGUAUUAGCGACGGCUAAUUGUCAUCACUAAUAGUUAGUUUGUCGUCACUAAUGCCAAGCCGUCGCUAAAAAUCCGAUAGAAAUACCUUAAUCGUUAAUUAUCGAUAAUUAGUAAUGGCAUGCCAUCGC
rnacentral:lncRNA from 1 species